GUAGAGAUGGAAGAUGUUGAUCUGCGGUCGCCACUCUUGCCAGUGAAGAUAAUAAAUAAAGAACAAACGAAGACAACAACAAGAAGAAGAGUCGUGAUUGAAAGGGAAGAAGAAACUUAGAAAACUAACAGUUGUGAUCAAAAUGAAGAAGAAGAAAUGAAAGUGAAGAACAUUUUCAAUCGCCAGACUCGUCGCUCUACUUCUUCUCAGUGAAAGUGAAACCGAAGAGACAGAACCAAGAAAGAAGAUUCUCGGUGCAAGUAACACAAUCCGACAAGAACCCAUUUUGCCUGCAAACUAAAUUCUGCAUGUCCCGCAAUAGCCUAAUACCGUGCGGAUCACACACGCAAGGCCCACAAAUAAUGGGACUAGAUUUUUCCUGACCAGUCCCACCCCGCCACAAGUCUUAAUGGGACAGGGUCUAUGGAACAGAUCACAUAUUGUCAUCUCUAUACUAGUAGGUGCCUACCCAUAAGCAGAAGUUGCCCUUGAAUGUGCAUCAAAGGAGGAACCCCAGGCAGCAAUCCGCGGACCCAUAGGAGGGGCGGAGCGGAGGAGGGUCUGUGAAUGCGGUAUACGAGCCUUUCCAACAUAAGCACUUAUACCACCGGGCUCACCUACACCCCUUGAGGUGAUUCAAGUCGACUUGGUCAGCUUUGAGCUGUCGAGUAAGGAGUGACGGGCCUUUGGAAACCCGAGAAAAGCGGGGGAGUACUCUAUACAGUGCGUUCUAUAAUGAACCUAUAUUAAACGACUAACAAUGUUAUAGAUUAACUAAAUGUUUUAAACUUAAUCUAUCUCUAUUAUAUAAAGAAGAGUUUCUCUUCUUCCUCCUUCUGCCACGUCAUCAAUUCGUUGAACCUGAGCGAGCCACGUGUCCUACUUCACCGAUCCGCUCCGUUUCAUUAAGGUGUACAUCGUUUGGGAUUUUCUUUUAUUAAUACAGAAGACUUUUAUGCUAUUUUCAAAUUAGGCCCACAACUUAUUAGGGUAUCUUCGUUGGCGAUGUCUAUUCUACGCCUCUGUAACCGUUUCAGUUUUGAUCAAACAUUGUUUUUUUCGCCAGAACUUUGUAACUGAAGAAGUUGAUUUCAGCCUUCACUUCCAUCAAUUAAUUAUUAGAGAUUAACAAUGGAAUUCAUUGGCAUCAAACCAUGAAUUCUUCAUCCUUCUAGCUUCCUUCAAGUCUUAACUAUUUUCAUACACUAUUUAUAUGGAGCUGAAGAGGAUGGCUAUGUGCAUCAAAUCAUCACUGUCUUCUAUUAUACCUAAGAACCUGCAAGCAGGUUACAACAUGGCGAAUCCUCAACUGCUUCUUUCUGAGUUGGCUGGUCGGUACAAGGAAACCGGACCUGUCUCCUCCUCAGUUCUUGGGAAGCAAUUAAUGUGAGGGAGAGCUUACGGGGAUUGAUAUAUUUUGGUUGAUGAGAGGUCUACUCUGAUCCAGGGAUCUAUGAGCUGAGUUGAUUUGAUUUGACAAGGAGUAAUCAGUACUUCAAGCUCACCACAUCACCGUCUCUAUUAGAUUCAAGCAACAUUCCACCAUGAUCUAUAUUGCAGAAACCAUUAAUCCAUUCCCAAUGGAGGUCUUCAUGUUCCGCGAUUAGGAUGAAAUGGUGGUACUAGCGAACACAGACACAUACUUACCAGGGCAGGUUGUGAACUUUACCUCGAUAUUGGUUGGGUUAAAUGCAUUGGUUUGACGAUGGAAUGUUUUACUUACACACGGUUUCACCCCAUAUUGAUCGGAUUAAAUGGAUUGGUUUGACGAUGCGAAUGUUUUACUUAUUCCUGGUUUCAUAUUAGAUAUUGUUGGUGAAGUUUUGCUAUAAACAGUGGAAUUCAUGAUUUUUUAUGAUUUCUAAAAUAAUAACAUCGAACCAAUCUUCAGGGACCCGACUGUUUUUGUAAGUGUGUUGACAGGCUCGCAAUUCGCAACUCUACUUCACGAGAAAUUGGUGGCCUCAGGUGGUCGUCGCUACCAACGUGAAUCCUAAGCUGGUUGAAGGCACAUAUUUCUACUUCGACACAGAGAGUGGCGCUGGCCAGAGCGUUUUUGAAGCGCAAAAUCUAAAUUUUCCAACUUUAUCUUUUAACCAAAAUUCUUUCUCCUAGUUAAAUUUUUUGAUUGAAACAAGAAAUUUUCCCAAUAUGUCUCAUCUUCCUCAAGUUCAAAGGUGUAAUAAUUUAAAGUUGCUGGCAUCUUGGUUUCUAUUUUCUAGGCUUGGUCACUGAGAAACCUUUUCGGCCCUAACUUAACUUUUUUUAAAAACAUGUACAGAAGGUUAUCAUCUAUUAGUUAUUGCAAAGACAAAAACAUGCAGGUCCAACAAAAGUAAAAAUCAAAAGUCUACCUUCUUAGCUAAGAAACUAGAUAUCACGUGUGAUAGCAAAAACAAAAUCGGAGCUACCAAAUAUAUUAGUACGAAAACAAACUUCUGAUUCCUUUGUAACCAAGCAAAUAAUAAUUAACGUUCUAACGUUCUAACCUCGGUCCUUUCAUCAACAUUAAAAAGUUACACAAUGCAUUUAGUAAGUACUUAUAGUUAAAUAUGAUGGUGAUCACAGGAAAAUACAUUACGUCCACAUAGGAGGUGCUUGGUCCUUGACGGAUCACCCGCAGUACAAGAAAACAUCACUAUAGCGACGAAAAUUAACGAAGAAAAUUAAUCCUCGUAAAUUUACGUUGACUUUACGAGUAUCUUACGAGAAAAUUUAAAAUCAACGUUAAUUCAUCGUAAAAUAACGACGAAACGAUUCCCUCGUAAAAACGAUGUAACAUAACGUGAUUUUUACGAGGAAAAAUGGUUUCCUCGUAAACUCGACGUAACAGUAGCGUCUACUUUACAAGGAAAUAUUUUACAUUUACUUAACGACAAAAUUUCGAGUCCACCAACUUUGUAGUUGUAACACGUUUUUUGUUUCGGCUACCUAACUAAAUUUCGUCGUAAAUUCCUAGUAAAAUUUCAACUACUAGAUUCGAAAAUUUUCUAUAAAUAUGG